rnacentral:lncRNA from 13 species
UUGAUGUCAUUUUGACUCGUUGAUCUGCUUGGAUUUAAUUUGUGUCGAAAUAAUGUAAAUGAAACUAUUGAAUUGUGUAAAAAGAUCAAAGAUCUAUACACAACUUAUUUAAUAAAUUGUAAAACAUCACCCAACUUCGACAAAGUAACAUCAACUGUAUCAGAUGCGCUAUGGUACAUUAUAAUCACCGUAGAUAAAGAUUCCAUCAUAACAUUCAUCUGUGACUUACAUAAUGUUCCAUACAAAAAACUUGGAUGGUACAGUUGGCUAAAUAAGAAUUUCAUGAAGGAUUACUUUAUUUAUUUCUUGUUCCUUAUGUUGGAGCAUUUUUAAGAAUAUAUUGUUACUACUUCGCUCAAUUCGUAAUUUGGAAUUUGGAUAAAUUUCCUAUACUUGCUUGGUUAAAAUUUGGGAAGAAUAAUGUUCAAUUAAAUCUUUAUCCUAAACACUAAAAUUUUUAAUUAUUGGACAUAAAGGAAUAAUUAUAAUAUUAAUGAAUUUCUAAAUGUUAUAAUUUUAAUUAAAAUAACUUUGACAAACGAUACAUUACGUAUUUGAAAUAAAUUUGUAAGAUCUAUCAAC